rnacentral:rRNA from 1 species
AUGGACUUCAUCGAGGGCCUUCCCAAGGUGGGCGGCAAGUCCGUCAUCCUCAGGGUGGUCGACCGCUUCUCCAAGCAUGCUCACUUCAUCGCGCUCGGCCAUCCCUACACUGCCGGGUCCGUGGCCCGUGCCUUCUUCGACGGCAUCGUCCGCCUCCACGGGUUUCCCUCUUCGAUCGUCAGCGAUCGGGACCCGAUGUUCACGAGGCAUGUCUGGCGCGAUCUCUUUCGGAUGGCGGGCAUGAAGCUCCACCUGAGCACGGCCUUCCACCCUCAGACGGACGGCCAAUCCGAGGUCGUCAACAAGGUGAUUGCCAUGUAUUUGCGUUGUGUCACAGGUGAUCGUCCUCGUGCUUGGGUGGAUUGGCUCACGUGGGCGGAGUACUGCUACAACACCUCCUAUCACUCCGCCCUGCGCGCCACGCCAUUCGAGGUGGUCUACGGCCGACCGCCCCCGCCCAUCCUGCCGGUUGACCCGGCGACGGCUCGGACGGAGGCGGCGGGCGAUCUUCUCAACCGCGACGAGAUGCUUGCGAAGGUACGGCAACGCCUCAUUCAGGCCUAG